rnacentral:rRNA from 1 species
GUUAAGCGACUAAGCGUACACGGUGGAUGCCCUGGCAGUCAGAGGCGAUGAAGGGCGUGCUAAUCUGCGAUAAGCGCCGGUAAGGUGAUAUGAACCGUUAUAACCGGCGAUACCCGAAUGGGGAAACCCAGUGUGAUUCGUCACACUAUCAUUAACUGAAUCCAUAGGUUAAUGAGGCGAACCGGGGGAACUGAAACAUCUAAGUACCCCGAGGAAAAGAAAUCAACCGAGAUUCCCCCAGUAGCGGCGAGCGAACGGGGAGGAGCCCAGAGCCUGAAUCAGCAUGUGUGUUAGUGGAAGCGUCUGGAAAGGCGCGCGAUACAGGGUGACAGCCCCGUACACAAAAGCGCAUGUGCUGUGAGCUCGAUGAGUAGGGCGGGACACGUGGUAUCCUGUCUGAAUAUGGGGGGACCAUCCUCCAAGGCUAAAUACUCCUGACUGACCGAUAGUGAACCAGUACCGUGAGGGAAAGGCGAAAAGAACCCCGGCGAGGGGAGUGAAAAAGAACCUGAAACCGUGUACGUACAAGCAGUGGGAGCACAGGUUUACCUGUGUGACUGCGUACCUUUUGUAUAAUGGGUCAGCGACUUAUAUUCUGUAGCAAGGUUAACCGUAUAGGGGAGCCGCAGGGAAACCGAGUCUUAAUUGGGCGUUAAGUU